UACGUAGGGGGCAAGCGUUGUCCGGAUUUACUGGGCGUAAAGAGCGUGUAGGCGGCCAAGCAGGUCCGUUGUGAAAACUGGAGGCUUAACCUCCAGACGUCGACGGAAACCGCGUGGCUAGAGUCCGGAAGAGGAGAGUGGAAUUCCUGGUGUAGCGGUGAAAUGCGCAGAUAUCAGGAAGAACACCAAUGGCGAAGGCAGCUCUCUGGGACGGUACUGACGCCGAGACGCGAAAGCGUGGGGAGCGAACAGG
rnacentral:rRNA from 1 species